rnacentral:rRNA from 1 species
UACGAAGGGGGCUAGCGUUGCUCGGAAUCACUGGGCGUAAAGCGCACGUAGGCGGAUUGCCAAGUCGGGGGUGAAAUCCUGGAGCUCAACUCCAGAACUGCCUUCGAUACUGGCGAUCUUGGAGUCUGGGAGAGGUGAGUGGAACUGCGAGUGUAGAGGUGAAAGUCGUAGAUAUGCGCAAGAACACCGGUGGCGAAGGGGGCUCACUGGCCCGGUACUGACGCUGAGGUGCGAAAGCGUGGGGAGCAAACAGG